GGAUGGUUAUGUCCUGUUCUAAGUGUUCACAGCGGUCCUUGAUGUUCCACACAACGCAAUUAAGGCACGCGGUGAAUGCCAAGAACAAAGAUAUAUAAAAU